rfam:Halorubrum sp. AJ67, WGS project CBVY01000000 data, contig: SCAFFOLD00005
AGUCCCGUGGUGUAGUGGCCAAUCAUAAUGGCCUUUGGAGGGAGUUCGACCGCGCCACGCGGUCGGAUGCCCGAAGUCAGCCAUUGACGGCGGUUCGAAUCCGCCCGGGACUA